rnacentral:rRNA from 1 species
UAAGUGAAGAGUUUGAUCCUGGCUCAGAGUGAACGCUGGCGGUAGGCCUAACACAUGCAAGUCGAACGGCAGCACAGAGGAGCUUGCUCCUUGGGUGGCGAGUGGCGGACGGGUGAGGAAUACAUCGGAAUCUACUCUGUCGUGGGGGAUAACGUAGGGAAACUUACGCUAAUACCGCAUACGACCUACGGGUGAAAGCAGGGGACCUUCGGGCCUUGCGCGAUUGAAUGAGCC